UACGGAGGGUGCAAGCGUUAAUCGGAAUUACUGGGCGUAAAGCGUGCGUAGGCGGUUCGUUAAGUCUGUUGUGAAAGCCCCGGGCUCAACCUGGGAAUGGCAAUGGAUACUGGCGAGCUAGAGUGUGUCAGAGGAUGGUGGAAUUCCCGGUGUAGCGGUGAAAUGCGUAGAUAUCAGGAGGAACACCGGCGGCGAAGGCGGCCCUCUGGAUCGUUGCUGACGCUGAGACGCGAAAGCGUGGGGAGCAAACAGG
rnacentral:rRNA from 1 species